rnacentral:rRNA from 1 species
CACCGCGGUUAAACGAGAGGCCCUAGUUGAUAGCAUACGGCGUAAAGGGUGGUUAAGGAUUAUAUAUAAAUAAAGCCAAAUGGCCCUUCGGCCGUCAUACGCUUCUAGGUAUCCGAAACCCUAAUACGAAAGUAGCUUUAAACCCACCUGACCCCACGAAAACUGAGAAA